GACAGAGGGUGCAAACGUUGUUCGGAUUUACUGGGCGUAAAGCGCGUGUAGGCGGCUUUGCACGUCGGAUGUGAAAGCCCACGGCUCAACCGUGGAAGUGCAUCCGAAACUGCAUGGCUGGAGUCUCGGAGAGGAAGGUGGAAUGCUUGGUGUAGAGGUGAAAUUCGUAGAUAUCAAGCAGAACACCUGCGGCGAAGGCGGCCUUCUGGACGAUGACUGACGCUGAGACGCGAAAGCGUGGGGAGCAAACAGG
rnacentral:rRNA from 1 species